rnacentral:lncRNA from 1 species
AAUUUUUAUAUGGUUAAAUCACAAUUUUGAUUUAACAAUCUUUUUAUAAUGAUGGAAGCAAAUAUCUUUCUGAUCCAAUCAAAAGUUUACUCGUUAUAUUUUUAUUUUUAAAUUCAAAAAAAAUUAUUUAUAUUUAUCAAAAAAAAUUACUUUAAUCUUUGAAUCUAAAUUUUCAAUUAAAAUAGUCACUAUACCUUAAACUUUGAAAAUUUUCAUCUCACAACAUUACUUCACCAUCGGAAAAUUUUGACAGAUCACUCAUACGUCACCAUACGUCACUCGACGGAUGACUGGAAAAUUCCACUGGUAUGGUGGAUAUGUAGGUAUUAUACCAUAACAAACAGGAAAAUGCUAAUUUACCUCUAGUUUUCUAAUCCAGGAAACUUAGGUUUAAUCCAUUACCAUGUAACCAUAACCAAUAUUAUUAUAACCAGCUAUAAAGGUAAUAACAGCUCACCGGCUUCAUAAAGGAUUAAAUACGCCAUACCAUAAGUUUACAAAGCGUAUAAACCAAAAAUUCACUAACCAACAGAACUGCUACACUAUUAAAUGAUCAAACCAUUAAUUAUCUUCACCAAAA